rnacentral:rRNA from 1 species
CCUACGUGGGGCUGCAGUGGGGAAUAUUGGACAAUGGGGGCAACCCUGAUCCAGCCAUGCCGCGUGUGUGAAGAAGGCCCUCGGGUUGUAAAGCACUUUCAGUGAGGAAGAACGCCUGGUGGUUAAUACCCAUCAGGAAAGACAUCACUCACAGAAGAAGCACCGGCUAACUCCGUGCCAGCAGCCGCGGUAAUACGGAGGGUGCGAGCGUUAAUCGGAAUUACUGGGCGUAAAGCGCGCGUAGGUGGCUUGAUAAGCCGGUUGUGAAAGCCCCGGGCUCAACCUGGGAACGGCAUCCGGAACUGUCAAGCUAGAGUGCAGGAGAGGAAGGUAGAAUUCCCGGUGUAGCGGUGAAAUGCGUAGAGAUCGGGAGGAAUACCAGUGGCGAAGGCGGCCUUCUGGACUGACACUGACGCUGAGGUGCGAAAGCGUGGGUAGCAAACAGGAUUAGAUACCCCUGUAGUC